CUCCGUAGAGUUCCGGGUACUUUUCAGACUAUGUGAACUCUUUGAGAUGUCAGACAGCUCUUUAAGGCUGGUAUUAUUCUUGUUUUUCUGAGAAAGAAACUAAGGCCCAAGAAUAUAAAGCAGCUUGCCUCUCACAUCAUAUAGGUGAUGACAAACAGGCACAGAAACAUUUGGAAUGAAUGACAAAAUGUUAACAUAAUAUAUGUCAAAGGUAAUGCUUGCAUUGGGAAGUAAGGACAGUGCACAAUAAAUGCAAUAAAAAUAUUGUAUACCACCAAGUGCAUAGGGUGAACUCAAAUAACUGCACAUUUAACUGAUUCUCUCGAAUUUAUUACUAAACUAAUACACAAGGAGCUUGAUUAUCUUACAAAAGAAUAUUAGGUAUAAUCCUUAGUACAUUUAAAAUAGAUGUAGUUCACUGAAAUUGAGAUGUAUGUCCAAUAUUUUGAACAUAUAGUUUUAUAAAGUAUCUCUUUAUUGGUGUAUAUUGCAUUCUGAGUUUUCUGUUUUUUAGGAGGAUAAGAAGCAAACAUUCAUCUUCUACUUGUAUAACAAAGAGGAAAUGAGACACAAAGAGAAGUGGUGAAUUUAUUUAGCAUAAGAGCAGCUGCCGGGAAAAAGAUGAGAUGGAAAAGGAUCUUCAAGCUUUGGGACUGCAGUACAUCCCAAACCAGGAAGGCUCCAACCAAAUCCUUCCUGAGGGAUCGAACUCGGGUCCUCGCGCUUGUGCAGCAGGCAACGAAACCACUGAGCUAAAUCCCUGGCCCGUCUGAUUCUUAAAUUAGCCCACUGAUUGUUUUGACAUAGUUCUGGGUAGGAUUAAGAGUGCCCCAACCUGGGUGCGAGUGCUACCUGCCCUAAAGGUGGGUUGCCUGGAUAAAAUAUAAGGGACAGAAAGAGGGUUGCUGUGGUCGAUUGCUGCUUCCUCGCUUGGUGGUUUACUACUGCCUACCUGCCAUGAACUGUUUCUGCUCUGGGACGCCCCUCUGCCAUGUGCCACCCUGCCUUGGAGCCAGCUGAUUAUGGACUGAAACCUCUACAAACCGUGAG
rnacentral:lncRNA from 1 species